rnacentral:lncRNA from 1 species
UGAAUGAAAUAAUUAUACAGUUUUAAACAAUUACACAUUACAAUGUUCGACGCGACCUUGUUACAUUCUGUAUUAUGAAAUGUAUACAUAGUACUUAACAUAAAUCCCUCACAGUUUUGUUCGACGCGACCUUAUUACAUUCUGUAUUAUGAAAUGUUCAUACUAUAUAUCUAGAAACCACAUAGUAAACUUUACUUACAGUUUUUUGUGAAUUCAUUUAAUUUCUAGGGUCCCAAUUUUCGUAGAUUGAUGGAAACUUGCAUUUUCGUGGAUAUUUGAUUGCGUACUUCUGCCAAAGUUUUCAUACAUUCUUAUAGAAAAUUUGUAAUUCGUUGUUCAUAGGAAUUCGCGGUUCCCUAAAAACAACGAAAUCCACGAAAAUCGGUAUCAAGCGAAUGAAACAAAUCUUCGAACACAUUAAAAAGAGAAUUCAGGGGACAAAACAAGGAACUCAAACAAAUAAUAUGAAAACUAUAGUUUUGGUUUAUGCCAAAACAGUGGGACUAUUUCAGAAGGGUUACAAUAUCUUGCAACAACCGUCGACUUGGUAGGUGGACUAUGCUAAAAGGGAGUUUUUUCGGUGAGGUUAUUCUAAAACAAUAUUCAUUAUGUAUUGUACACUUUUAAUACAAUUAUUUCUCUGUAAUAUCGCAUUAUAUAUCAAGUGUUUAGUGUAUUACUAUAUAUGUGUCCCAUUAUCCUAAAAUCAAGACAAGAAAAAUAUAAACAUAUCAUAUCUGGUCCCGACUUUGAUCGAUAAUGUCAAACUAGACAAAAUAUUUUCAUUCUCAAGUCAAUAUAACUUAAAUAAAUGUUUUCACUUUUGCAAAGAAAUAUUGUCAAUUUCCUCCUGUAGAGGCAAUAUCACUCUGGACAAUACUAACAUAACGUGAUAGAGAUUGGUCAAAUGAUUACCCCAAAUUUGAAU